GCAAGUUGAACGAGAAAUAUUGAACAAUCAUUUCGAUCAGAGUUGAAUAUGGAUAGUAGCGAACGAGUGAGUAACACGUAGAAACCUGCCCAUCGGAGGGGGAGAACCACUGGAAACGGUGGCUAAUACCGCAUAAGCCCGAGAGGGGAAAGCAUUAAUGUGCCGAUGGAGGGGUCUGCGGACCAUCAGGUAGUUGGUGGGAUAACAGCCUACCAAGCCUACGACGGAUAUCUGGCGUGAGAGCGUGAUC
rnacentral:rRNA from 1 species